rnacentral:misc_RNA from 1 species
UCUCCGUAGGUGAACCUGCGGAGGGAUCAUUACUGAGUUAGGGUUUCGGUCCGACCUCCAACCCUUUGUGAACCAAACUUGUUGCUUCGGGGGCGACCCUGCCGCUUCGGCGGUGCGGCGCCCCCGGAGACCAUUAAACACUGCAUCAUUGCGUCGGAGCUAAAGUAAAUUAAACAAAACUUUCAACAACGGAUCUCUUGGUUCCAGCAUCGAUGAAGAACGCAGC